GCACACUGUGCAACAUACGUAUUAUCCCCAUUUCAUUGGUGCCACGAGGAAGGGGGGUCCUAUACAGUACCACUCUGAAUUUAGCCUGCUUGUUUUUCCACCCCUUUCAGGUGGCAGUUGCACUGAUCUUCCCAACAUUGCCCCCUGGCUGGCAUGACUGGCAGAGCAGCAAGGAUGGCUCAUUCUCCCUAGCUGGCAGUCGCACUGAUCUUCUCAACAUUGUCCCCUGGCUGGUAUGACUGGCAGAGCAGCAAGGAUGGCUCGUUUUCCCUAGAUUACGUGAUGCUGCGCACAUAGUGAUGAUUUCAACUACCCAACGAGGCAUAGGGAUUGUCUUUUUCUUUCAGCAGUGUUGCGAGUCUUUAUUUGGGCGGUGUUGUACCUGAAUGAGUUAAUAAAUGUUACGAGUCAGAGAGACA